rnacentral:rRNA from 1 species
UACGAAGGGGGCUAGCGUUGCUCGGAAUGACUGGGCGUAAAGGGCGCGUAGGCGGUGGGGUAAGUCUGGUGUGAAAUCUCGGAGCUCAACUUCGAAAUUGCACUGGAUACUGCUCUGCUAGAGGGCUGGAGAGGAGAUCGGAAUUCACGGUGUAGCAGUGAAAUGCGUAGAUAUCGUGAGGAAGACCAGUGGCGAAGGCGGAUCUCUGGACAGCUCCUGACGCUGAGGCGCGAAGGCUAGGGGAGCAAACGGG